GACGAAGGGGGCUAGCGUUGUUCGGAAUUACUGGGCGUAAAGCGCGUGUAGGCGGUUGCCCAAGUCGGGUGUGAAAGCCUUGAGCUCAACUCAAGAAAUGCACUCGGUACUGGGUGACUAGAGGACCGGAGAGGAUAGUGGAAUUCCUGGUGUAGCGGUGGAAUGCGCAGAUAUCAGGAGGAACACCAACGGCGAAGGCAGCUCGCUGGGACGGUACUGACGCUGGAGGCGCGAA
rnacentral:rRNA from 1 species